UAUCUUAAAAGGUAACACGAUGUAACCUUGCUCUCACUUGAAAUGUUACCAGUAUGUCGCUUUGAGAUACUAAUAUAUCUCUGAGGUGUCUUUGGUAACAAUAAUGUACAUCUGAGGUACUAAUAUGAACUCUUUAGUACUUUUUGAAAAGCUAUUUUUUUCUAAUAGGAACAUUUUCCUUUAGAUCUACAAUUAUGGUCCACUCUUCCACCAUAUGAUCCUGUGUUGUAUCUUAUCACACAUAACACAUAAGAAGUUAUAUGUCCACUCUCCCACCAUAUGUGUGAUUAGAUACAAAACAGGAUCAUAACACAUAAGAAGUUAUAUGUAGAUGAAUAUCUUGAAACUCCAAUGGGGCGAAUUAGUUUAGAUUAAUUUUUCAGAACAGUGGUGAAUCAGACAUGUGAUUCACUAUCAAGGUCACUAAAGUUAUGAGUAUCACUUGGGCAGCUGCCAGCAGCCCAUGAGCUGAGUUAAUGUUAGUUCUCCCUCAUCAGGACUCAAUGGAUUUUAAUCAACACAUUACGCCAGUUGUUAAUUGCUUGAGAACCAUCUGUUUAUAACCACACAGCCCAGAUUACCGCUUGCCCACCGUGUAAGCUGACAUGGCAUACAACUCGCUAAUUUGCACUGUGAGCACUUCCUUCAACAGGGGUGAAAACGUCAAGCAAAAUAAAACUGCGAAAGAAACUUAAAGAUCAAGUUUUGCAAGUUUAUUUUUUUUAAUAAACCUUAGAUAAGAACAAAACUUAGUACAUAUGUACAGAAUAAAGAAUAAUGUUGCUUGCUUAUGUAGAUAAUUGGUAGAGGGUGGCAACACGGUUUUCUUUGUUUCCUCAGACACAAAGCUCGUCUCAUGUUCAAACGACAUUUGAACCCUCCGCUGGGCGCAGCUGAAAACAGUCUGAGUAUAGUCUAGUUAGGACAAUAGCCAUUAAAAACCUAGUUUCAGGAAAACUUCACACACAAUUUAUUGUAAUCAGCAGCACUGUCUAAGACUAAACAGAGGAAUUGAGUAUUUUAUUCAGUCUCAACAAAGUCCUGCAUCUCUGGGGAGUUGAGGUAUCAAACAGGGGUUGAUGGUCAGACCCAUCAGGCUAUCUAGAUGUGGCACAGUAAUUAUCGCUCUUUAGGGGUGUGAUUUUGGAGUCAACUAGGGUUGUACUGUCUGAUCCUAAUCAACUCUUCCUUUAUUUGCUAGUGGGUGAAGAAGCAGUCGGGGGCACCUUGAUACCCCUGCCUCGUGCCAAAGUCUCCCUCCGCACCCAGUAUGACGGCAGAUCCACCCAGGAUAACAUUCAGAUAAAAGGAGAAGACAGUGUUUCAGGUUUAUGUGGUGAUUCUUCUGUUGCCCGGCUUUGAAGGUGACAUCUCGUCAGGGGAGGGCCGAGCCAUCAAAGCAAUCAUGUACUUUAAUUACAGGCUACAAGAGACAAUUACAGCCAAAGCCUGAAGUCUUAACACCGGCCUUGAUACCAUAAGAGAAGCAGAAAAGGGUGCUGUGCUUACCGUGGUUCAGCGAGAGAUGUGAUUGGUCAAUGUGUCGAGGGAAGCACAUAGUUAUUGGGAGGCCCAAACAUGCUUGUUAAACAGAGAGUGAAAUAGCUGUGGUUGUUGAAGACCGAUUUCCAGCUCUGCAUCACGGAUGUAAAGUACAAUAAUGUAUUUAGAUGUCUUCCCACUGAUGCCUUUCUGAACUGUAAGAUACUGAGGUACAUGUUAUGGCCCUGCACGGCCACAGAGGAUGCUGUUUAGGCGUGUGCUGAACUGGAGAAGAUACAGUACAGAUUUUAUUGACGGUGGUUUCCUUUUCCAUGAGGUUACGGGCUCGGAUGCUAAAUAUUGACUUUCGCAGCUGGGGAAAAACAGAGGUUUAUGCAGCAAGCCACACAGAUCAAUGCGUAAUACCUCUUGGAAUGGUCGCAAGAUGAGGAUGAUGCCGAGGGAAGGCGUCGGAAGAGACAGCUGGGGUCCUGCUGCUGGCGGUCGAUGAACUGCUUCAUGAAGCUCUCUCUGUGACACACGCCCACAG